AUCCAGCUGACGAGUCCCAAAUAAGACGGAAUGCGCAUCCUGGAU
rfam:Trichobilharzia regenti genome assembly, scaffold: TRE_scaffold0018643